rnacentral:rRNA from 1 species
UGAGCAAUCUGCCCUUCACUCUGGGACAAGCCCUGGAAACGGGGUCUAAUACCGGAUAACACUCUAUCCCGCAUGGGACGGGGUUAAAAGCUCCGGCGGUGAAGGAUGAGCCCGCGGCCUAUCAGCUUGUUGGUGAGGUAACGGCCCACCAAGGCAACGAUGCGUAGCCGACCUGAGAGGGUGAUCGGCCACAUUGGAACUGAGACACGGUCCAGACUCCUACGGGAGGCAG